rnacentral:tRNA from 1 species
GGCCUCAUCGUCUAGUGGCCUAGGACACGUGGUUCUCAUCCACGAAACAGGGGUUCGAUUCCCCUUGAGGCUA